rnacentral:rRNA from 1 species
UACGUAGGCAGCAAGCGUUGUUCGGAGUUACUGGGCGUAAAGGGUGCGUAGGCGGCUUCUUAAGUCUGGUGUGAAAUCUCCCGGCUCAACUGGGAGGGUGCGCCGGAUACUGAGGGGCUAGAGUGUGGGAGAGGAAAGUGGAAUUCCUGGUGUAGCGGUGAAAUGCGUAGAGAUCCGGAAGAACACCGACGGCGAAGGCAGCGCCCUGGGCGAGACCUGACGCUCAGGCACGAAAGCUGGGGGAGCAAACAGG